UAGGAAUAUUCGUCAAUGGGGGAAACCCUGAACGAGCAAUGCCGCGUGAGUGAUGACGGUCCUUUGGAUUGUAAAACUCUGUUGUAAAGGAAGAAUCGCAAAGAUAGGAAAUGAUCUUUGUUUGACGGUACUUUACCAGAAAGCCCCGGCUAACUACGUGCCAGCAGCCGCGGUAAUACGUAGGGGGCGAGCGUUAUCCGGAUUUCUUGGGCGUAAAGCGUGUGUAGGCGGUUUGUUAAGUCUGAAAUAAAAGCCCGAGGCUCAACUGCGGUUCGUUUCAGAAACUGGCAGACUUGAGUGUGGUAGAGGCAAGUGGAAUUUCUAGUGUAGCGGUAAAAUGCGUAGAUAUUAGAAGGAACACCAGUGCGAAGGCGACUUGCUGGGCCAUUACUGACGCUGAGACACGAAAGCGUGGGGAGCAAAU
rnacentral:rRNA from 1 species